AAACAUAAUAAUUACAACUUUCAACAACGGAUCUCUUGGUUCUGGCAUCGAUGAAGAACGCAGCGAAAUGCGAUAAGUAGUGUGAAUUGCAGAAUUCAGUGAAUCAUCGAAUCUUUGAACGCACAUUGCGCCCCUUGGUAUUCCAUGGGGCAUGCCUGUUCGAGCGUCAUUUGUACCUUCAAGCUCUGCUUGGUGUUGGGUGUUUGUCUCGCCUCUGCGCGUAGACUCGCCUCAAAACAAUUGGCAGCCGGCGUAUUGAUUUCGGAGCGCAGUACAUCUCGCGCUUUGCACUCAAAACGACGACGUCCAAAAGUACAUUUUUACACUCUUGACCUCGGAUCAGGUAGGGAUACCCGCUGAACUUAAGCAUAUCAAUAAGCGGAGGA
rnacentral:rRNA from 1 species